AUUGAACGCUGGCGGCAGGCUUAACACAUGCAAGUCGAGCGGGGUGAUGGUGCUUGCACUAUCACUUAGCGGCGGACGGGUGAGUAAUGCUUAGGAAUCUGCCUAUUAGUGGGGGACAACAUCUCGAAAGGGAUGCUCAUACCGCAUACGUCCUACGGGAGAAAGCAGGGGAUCACUUGUGACCUUGCGCUAAUAGAUGAGCCUAAGUCGGAUUAGCUAGUUGGUGGGGUAAAGGCCUACCAAGGCGACGAUCUGUAGCGGGUCUGAGAGGAUGAUCCGCCACACGGGGACUGAGACACGGCCCAGACUCCUACGGGAGGCAGCAGUGGGGACUAUUGGACAAGGGGGGGAACCCUGAUCCAGCCAUGCCGCGUGUGUGAAGAAGGCCUUAUGGUUGUAAAGCACUUUAAGCGAGGAGGAGGCUCUUUUGGUUAAUACCCAAGAUGAGUGGACGUUACUCGCAGAAUAAGCACCGGCUAACUCUGUGCCAGCAGCCGCGGUAA
rnacentral:rRNA from 1 species